GAUGAACGCUAGCUACAGGCAUAACACAUGCAAGUCGAGGGGAAACGAUAUUGGAAGCUUGCUUCCGAUAGGCGUCGACCGGCGCACGGGUGAGUAACGCGUAUCCAACCUGCCCACCACUUGGGGAUAACCUUGCGAAAGUAAGACUAAUACCCAAUGACGUCCAUAGAAGACAUCUGAAAUGGAUUAAAGAUUUAUCGGUGUUGGAUGGGGAUGCGUCGGAUUAGCUUGUUGGCGGGGUAACGGCCUACCAAGGCGACGAUCAGUAGGGGUUCUGAGAGGAAGGUCCCCCACAUUGGAACUGAGACACGGUCCAAACUCCUACGGGAGGCAGCAGUGAGGAAUAUUGGUCAAUGGGCGAGAGCCUGAACCAGCCAAGUAGCGUGCAGGAUGACGGCCCUAUGGGUUGUAAACUGCUUUUAUAAGGGAAUAAAGUGAGUCUCGUGAGGCCUUUUGCAUGUACCUUAUGAAUAAGGACCGGCUAAUUCCGUGCCAGCCGCCGCAGUAA
rnacentral:rRNA from 1 species